AAGAAAAAGUCAUGCAUCAUAACCCAUAAAUAUCAUUAAUUUCUGAUCAUUUAUGAUAUAAGAAGCAGCUUUUCCAUACACAGUCCACAAAAACUUCCAUACAGUAUCACAAAGAGAAACAGAAUAUGGCCCGAAAGGAGAAGAUCACAGCUUUCACACUUGUCUUAGCUUUGGCAUUGAUAAUGUUAUCAACAGAUGUUGGUAUUGGAGUUCAAGCUUCAAAGUGUCCUUACCCAGAAGGAUGCAUAAGGAAUGAGCCAUGCCCAGCAGAUACAGGAGCAGAAUGUGAGGUUUAUUCAAUACCCACUCUACCAUGUUCUUGCUCUGAAGUAAAGAGAUGUGAUCCCACAGCCAGUGGAUGCAGUGAGAGCACAAUUGCAGGCCUUCGUUCUUGUGAUUUCUGAGCAAUGAGCCUAAUAACUAAAUAAAAGAUUUGGCUUCUUGCCAACAUGAUCAUGAAUAUUAUGUUGAGAUUACUAGUGUUUUCCAGUGGAUAUGAAAAUAAAUCAGUCGAGUGUACUGGUUUAGAUAGAGCCAACACUCUCUGUGAUUGAAUUGCAGUCUAUGUAGUUGUUAAAAGAAGGUAAAAUGGCAAAACAAUUCCAUUGGACUUUCUUUUCAGUUUAUAUGAUGGUGUAAUACUUAAUCAAGGGUAUUUGAUUAA